AAGGAAUAUUGGACAAUGGGCGGAAGCCUGAUCCAGCCAUGCCGCGUGAAGGAAGAAUGCGCUCAGCGUUGUAAACUUCUUUUGAAUGGGAACAAUAAUCCCGACGUGUCGGGACUUGAGGGUACCAUUAGAAUAAGCACCGGCUAACUCCGUGCCAGCAGCCGCGGUAAUACGGAGGGUGCAAGCGUUAUCCGGAAUCACUGGGUUUAAAGGGUGCGUAGGCGGUUUGAUAAGUCAGUUGUGAAAUUCACCGGCUUAACCGGUAGAACUGCGAUUGAUACUGUCAGACUUGAAUCAGGUUGAGGUAGGCGGAAUGUGGCAUGUAGCGGUGAAAUGCAUAGAUAUGCCAUAGAACACCGAUUGCGAAGGCAGCUUGCUGGACCUAGAUUGACGCUGAGGCACGAAAGCGUGGGGAGCAAAC
rnacentral:rRNA from 1 species